UUCUUCUAAUAAGUUCAUAUAUGAUAUGAUGGAAAGUUCAUAUGGUUUUUCGUAGUAUAACUGUAUAAGAAUAAAGAUUAAAAGAUAAUUUGCAUCCUAAAUUUUAUAUAAAUGUUGACAUUUGCACCUUAAAUUAAAAAAAAAUAUCUAAGUACAUUCUAAACUUUAGUUAUACUUGAUAAAAGGGACACUUUUUUCAGUUAAUCAAUCAAAAUAACCGACUAUAAAUAUUACAGAGGAGUACUUUUUAUAGUUUACAUUUAUGCCAAAUUUACGUUAAAUAUGCACUGGUUAUUUACUUGUGUUGGUUAUCAACGAAAAAUCUCCAAAUUAAUUGGUCUAGGAUUCGCGAUCUGAAGGAGAAGUGGGACUGAAUCAAUUUGAGCUUUAGUAGCAUGUAUGAAAUUGAUACCAUAGCUGUCGAUCAAUCUCCGGCAUAAACUCUCAAAAAUUCGGCGAAACCCACCAGUAAACAGUCAUUUACAAGGGAGUCCGAUCCAACACAACUAAAUCCUAAAUCAGUACCAAUCAACAGUACCGUCAUUGAAACCAUUCUGAAAUGAGAAAAAGAUAAGUAGAGCAACCAAAAAUCUAGAAUAGAUAAAAACGGAUAAACCCAUCCGAGCAAAUUAAUCCACCAGAAUUAAACCCAAAACAAUGCGGCAAGAACCAGUAAUUUCGACAGAGAGAACACCCCAAACCAAAAUAAUAAACAAUAAACAAAAGGGGAGACAACAUAUACAAUCAUUCUUAAUCUGAGCAUGACCACAAAAUAAAAACAUUAGAUACAAUAUAGAAAUCAGACUAAAACAAACAAACGGAUCUUAAUAGCCCUUUCCGAGAACCGAAACCACCUAUUUGGCAAGACCUAUUCCAGAUCAGAUAAAGAGAUGAUUAGAUCUGAAGAUAACCAUCGACCAAAAGCACUUCAAAUCGGAAUUCGACCAAGAAAUCACAUCACACGAAAAUUAGAUUUUGAAAUUGAAAAAGAUAGAAUAAUUUUCAAGGAGAAAACCUAGCAAGGAUGAAGGAAACAGAUCCUUGUAGGACUGAGCAUUCGGUUAAUAACCGAACCGAACCACAAGUUCGGUUAUAACCGAUACCCGAACAAACACUGUUUUAGAUAUCCGAAUAAACAACCGAAUUUUACACUAACCGAAUAAUCGUAUAACCGAAUAACCGAAUGGGUUAUUCAGUUAAAAACUGAAUUAAAAAACUAGCAGCAAAUUCGUAAAUUGUUGAUCACAGUACUAUAAACUUAUGAGAACCCAGAUCACAAAUGUUGACAGAAUUCAAAGUUCGUGAAGACCACCACAUUGAAUUAACUUAUCAUUGCUCAAACAAAUUAAAUUAUGAAAAAAAAUAAGCCCCAUUACCUGCGAAUCCAGGAACUGGAAAAACACCGAGAAUUAUAAAGUAGGCAAUCAACAGUUGCAUUCUCAUCUCCCACCAAAGAAACAUGAGAUCAACCCUCAAGAUCUUUGAUCCCUNNNNNNNNNNNNNNNNNNNNNNNNNNNNNNNNNNNNNNNNNNNNNNNNNNNNNNNNNNNNNNNNNNNNNNNNNNNNNNNNNNNNNNNNNNNNNNNNNNNNAGAUCAACCCUCAAGAUUUUUUGAUCCUUCUAGCCCAACCAUUAACACACAGAAUUUGCAUAUAAUACAGUAAUACAAAGCAUGUUCAAUUCGUUAAAAGCAAAAAGAAGCACAAGUUUUUAGAUAAAAGAACACCAAGAAACAGUAGUAUAUGUGAAGUAAUAAGAGUAGUGAAAACACAAGAAUGGAUUAGGUGGGAAUUAAGAAACCCAAUUGUAAUAAUUGCUCUUUAGUUGAAGCUAAGCUCUGAAUUUUACAGAGCUUUUGAGAGAUGUAAUGAAAUUAAAGCAAAAACAGAGUAUAGUUUCACAAUGAAAAAGGGGUUUGACAGGAGAGAGAAGGAGAAAGGGAGGAAAAUAUUCUCCCGAAAGAAUUAAGGGGUGUGACACGUUAGUUGAUAUUUGAGAUCUGAUCUGAGAGAGAGAUAUUGAGACUGAGCCCUGAGGAGUGAGGUCUGACCGUCUGAGACUCAGAGUUCGAGUCUGAGAUCUGAUCUGAGAGUGCUUGAGUCCUUGCUUGACCUUGAGUCCUUGAGUCUUGACUGCUGAGAGUGCUGACUGCUGAGAAUUUUCAAGUUAGUAAAGUGGGGUUCGGUUAUUCGAUUUAACCGAAUAACGCAAAAAUGAUACCCGGACAACCUAACCGAAAAUCGAAAAAAAAUUCGGAUAUAAGCGAAAUAUUAAAAAUAACUGAAUUAUCAGAAACAUUCGAAUAUUUUAUUUCGGUUCGUUAAUUCGGUUAUACCCAUUUUUUGCUCAGUCCUAAAUCCUUGCAUUGACCACCAACAGCACUUCGGCAACAACAAAC
rnacentral:lncRNA from 1 species